rnacentral:rRNA from 1 species
AUGGCCGAUACUACUGAAAGAAUUCCUCUUUGACUGGUAGGUGCUAUAGGUGGUAUUCCUAUGAUCGUUUUAGCAAGCGUUUUCUUUUAUGGAUCAUAUUCUAGAUAAGGUUCAUCACUAUAG